UUAAAUUGAAGAGUUUGAUCAUGGCUCAGAUUGAACGCUGGCGGCAGGCCUAACACAUGCAAGUCGAACGGUAACAGGAAGCAGCUUGCUGCUUCGCUGACGAGUGGCGGACGGGUGAGUAAUGUCUGGGAAACUGCCUGAUGGAGGGGGAUAACUACUGGAAACGGUGGCUAAUACCGCAUAACGUCGCAAGACCAAAGAGGGGGACCUUCGGGCCUCUUGCCAUCAGAUGUGCCCAGAUGGGAUUAGCUUGUUGGUGAGGUAACGGCUCACCAAGGCGACGAUCCCUAGCUGGUCUGAGAGGAUGACCAGCCACACUGGAACUGAGACACGGUCCAGACUCCUACGGGAGGCAGCAGUGGGGAAUAUUGCACAAUGGGCGCAAGCCUGAUGCAGCCAUGCCGCGUGUAUGAAGAAGGCCUUCGGGUUGUAAAGUACUUUCAGCGGGGAGGAAGGUGUUGUGGUUAAUAACCGCAGCAAUU
rnacentral:rRNA from 1 species